CCCUCUGAGCAUUUAGGCUGCUUCCUCACUGAUUUCAGGGGAGAUCAAAAGCCAAGCAAGUUUAGGCCUGAAUGGUACUUGGAUAGGAGACCACCUGGAAAUUCCAGGCCCUGCAAGGA
ensembl:rRNA 5S_rRNA 5S ribosomal RNA